CGCUGGCGGCAUGCCUUACACAUGCAAGUCGAACGGCAGCAUGGGAGCUUGCUCCUGAUGGCGAGUGGCGAACGGGUGAGUAAUAUAUCGGAACGUACCUUGUAGUGGGGGAUAACUAGUCGAAAGAUUAGCUAAUACCGCAUACGCCCUUUGGGGGAAAGUGGGGGAUCUGAAAGGACCUCAUGUUAUAAGAGCGGCCGAUAUCUGAUUAGCUAGUUGGUGAGGUAAAGGCUCACCAAGGCAUCGAUCAGUAGCUGGUCUGAGAGGACGACCAGCCACACUGGAACUGAGACACGGUCCAGACUCCUACGGGAGGCAGCAGUGGGGAAUUUUGGACAAUGGGGGCAACCCUGAUCCAGCAAUGCCGCGUGAGUGAAGAAGGCCUUCGGGUUGUAAAGCUCUUUUGUCCGGGAAGAAACGGUGGUCUCUAAUACAGAUUACUAAUGACGGUACCGGAAGAAUAAGCACCGGCUAACUACGUGCCAGCAGCCGCGGUAAUACGUAGGGUGCGAGCGUUAAUCGGAAUUACUGGGCGUAAAGCGUGCGCAGGCGGUUUUGUAAGCCAGAUGUGAAAGCCCCGGGCUUAACCUGGGAAUGGCAUUUGGGACUGCAAGGCUGGAGUGUGGCAGAGGAGACUGGAAUUCCUGGUGUAGCAGUGAAAUGCGUAGAUAUCAGGAGGAAUACCGAUGGCGAAGGCAGGUCUCUGGGCUGACACUGACGCUCAUGCACGAAAAGCGUGGGGAGCAAACAGGAUUAGAUACCCUGGUAGUCCACGCCCUAAACGAUGUCGACUGGUUGUUGGGGGUUUGACACUCUCAGUAACGAAGCUAACGCGUGAAGUCGACCGC
rnacentral:rRNA from 1 species